GCGGUAACACCAGCCCCUCGAGUGGUGGGGACUAUUAUUUGGUCUAAAGCGUCCGUAGCUGGCUGCAUCCGUCCUCCGUUAAAUCCAGCGUCCUAAACGUUGGACUGCGGAUGAUACCAUACAGCUAGAGGGUGGGAUAGGUGAGCGGUAUUUCUGGGGUAGGGGCGAAAUCCUUUGAUCCCAG
rnacentral:rRNA from 1 species